rnacentral:rRNA from 1 species
CCUACGGGAGGCAGCAGUGAGGAAUAUUGGUCAAUGGACGGAAGUCUGAACCAGCCAUGCCGCGUGCAGGAAGACGGCUCUAUGAGUUGUAAAAUGCUUUUGUACAAGGGUAAACCUGAAUACGAGUAUUUAGCUGAAAGUAAUGUACGAAUAAGGAUCGGCUAACUCCGUGCAAGCAGCUGCGGUAAUACGGAGGAUACAAGCGUUAUCCGGAUUUAUUGGGGUUAAAGGGUGCGUAGGCGGAUGGAUAGGUUAGAGGUGAAAUGUCGGAGCUUACCUCGGGAAUUGCCUCUGAUACUGUUGAUCUAGAGAGUAGAUGCGGUAGGCGGAAUGUAUGGUGUAGCGGUGAAAUGCUUAGAGAUCAUACAGAACACCGAUUGCGAAGGCAGCUUACCAAUCUAUCUCUGACGUUGAGGCACGAUAGCGUGGGGAGCAAACAGGAGUAGAGACCCGAGUAGUC